GGAUGGCUGCUGCGAACUGUCGGAGCAACAGUACAGCGUGCUACGGGGCACGUACGUCAGCAUGACGCUGCUGAAACUGAACCAGACGGGACCGCUCCAGUACCUGCGUGACUGUGUCAUAUUAGCCAACGCGACGAAGCAGCUGGCGCCGCAAUGGUGCUGCACCGAGAGUCAUCUACUCUCCCUCACCAUGGCGAGCGACGCGUUUAAGGUCUACGAACGUCCGCUAAAAUGUGGCUACGUGGUCUGCAAGGUCAUCUCUAACCACUGGGAAAUGUUGCUCUACUUUUUCAUCCUCUUCUGUGUCAUGCACUGGAUGGCGUACUCGAGCAUCAGAAGCGAGUACGUUAUGAUGCGCCUCUUGGACGAGAUGCGAAGAAGGCGUGCGCUGACCGCCACUGAGGAGCGUCGCAGCGUGCCGGAGCCACAAGCUGCACCAGCUGUCGGCCAAUGAGGUGCCCAGGAAUAGCCGGUUCCUGAAGGACGCUCCACAACAAGCCAACAAGCCAGUACAAACAUUCACAUUACCAGCAACCACCCGUGGUGUCAGCCAGGAUGUGCUGCAUAGAGAAAUUGCACAAAAAAUUUUAUAAGAAAGGGGAAGCUGUAAAAAUUGGUAGUGAGACAAAUGUUUAUCUCAGUCAAGCGCACUAAAAUGUGUUUCUGUACAAAUUUUCCGGCCUUUUCAUUCUAAUGUUUCUUUUUUGCAUAAUAAAUACUUCCGCAUAAAAUAAGCUAUUAAAUUCACAGGAAAACUGUUUGGGGUGGUGCCAGGGUCUCAACCUCAGUUAGAUUUCGUUUUGGUUUGGAGAUAAAAAGUUGUAACGAUUCGCAAACACGAGUCGCAUUCCGCAGUACGGCGGAUUUGUCAGCAUGCUCAGGGUCUUUCCAGUGAAGGCAGACAUGGACUCCCUGGCAAUUGGUAAGCAGAGAAAAAAAGGGGAGAAAUGUUUACG